rnacentral:rRNA from 1 species
CUACGGGUGGCAGCAGUGAGGGAUAUUCCACAAUGGGGGGAACCCUGAUGCAGCAACGCCGCGUGGAGGAUGACGCAUUUCGGUGUGUAAACUCCUUUUAUAUGUCAAGAAAAUGACGGUAGCAUAUGAAUAAGCACCGGCUAACUCCGUGCCAGCAGCCGCGGUAAUACGGAGGGUGCAAGCGUUACUCGGAAUCACUGGGCGUAAAGGACGCGUAGGCGGGUUGGAAAGUCAGGUGUGAAAUCCUACAGCUUAACUGUAGAACUGCACUUGAAACUUCUAAUCUAGAGUAUGGGAGGGGGAGAUGGAAUUAGUGGUGUAGGGGUAAAAUCCGUAGAUAUCACUAGGAAUACCUAAAGCGAAGGCGAUCUCCUGGAACAUUACUGACGCUAAGGCGUGAAAGCGUGGGGAGCAAACAAGAUUAGAUACCCUGUACUC